GUGCUCGCUUCGGCAGCACAUAUACUAAAAAUUGAAACGAUACAGAGAAGAUUAGCAUGGCCCCUGCACAAGGAUGACACACAAAUUACAAAGAAAAUUGUAAUCUUA